rnacentral:rRNA from 1 species
GUCUAUAGCUAUUUCAUCCUGAAUGAACCCGAUUUUGUCUGAUCUCGGAAGCUAAGCAGGGUUGGGCCUUGUUAGUACUUGAAUGGGAGAAAUAAAAAAAUAAAACCACCUUAGUUA